rnacentral:rRNA from 1 species
GUCCACGCCUAACUAUGGCAACUAGUUGUUGGAGGAUGAACUCCUUAGUAACGCAGCUAACGCGUGAAGUUGCCCGCCUGGGGAGUACGGUCGCAAGAUUAAACUCAAGGAAUUGACGGGCCCGCACAAGCGGUGGAUGAUGUGGUUCAAUUCGAUGCAACGCGAAACCUUACCUACCCUUGACAUGCCAGGAAGCUCGAUGAAAGUCGGGUGUGCCCGAAAGGGAACCUGGACACAGGUGCUGCAUGGCUGUCGU